rnacentral:rRNA from 1 species
CCUACGGGGGGCAGCAGUGGGGAAUAUUGGACAAUGGGCGAAAGCCUGAUCCAGCCAUGCCGCGUGUGUGAAGAAGGCCUUCGGGUUGUAAAGCACUUUCAGUGGGGAAGAAAGCCUUGGGGCUAAUACCCUCGAGGAAGGACAUCACCCACAGAAGAAGCACCGGCUAACUCCGUGCCAGCAGCCGCGGUAAUACGGAGGGUGCGAGCGUUAAUCGGAAUUACUGGGCGUAAAGCGCGCGUAGGCGGUCUGAUAAGCCGGUUGUGAAAGCCCCGGGCUCAACCUGGGAACGGCAUCCGGAACUGUCAGGCUAGAGUGCAGGAGAGGAAGGUAGAAUUCCCGGUGUAGCGGUGAAAUGCGUAGAGAUCGGGAAGAAUACCAGUGGCGAAGGCGGCCUUCUGGACUGACACUGACGCUGAGGUGCGAAAGCGUGGGUAGCAAACAGGAUUAGAUACCCGUGUAGUC